CACGUAGGGGGCGAGCGUUGUCCGGAUUUAUUGGGCGUAAAGAGCUCGUAGGUGGUUCAGUAAGUCGAGUGUGAAACCUCCAGGCUCAACCUGGAGACGCCACCCGAUACUACUGUGACUAGAGUCCAGUAGGGGAGCACGGAAUUCCUGGUGUAGCGGUGAAAUGCGCAGAUAUCAGGAGGAACACCGAUGGCGAAGGCAGAUCUCUGGGCCGUAACUGACGCUGAGGAGCGAAAGCAUGGGUAGCGAACAGG
rnacentral:rRNA from 1 species